AAAAUUUUUUUAAUACAGUAUCUAUUAUACAGUAUCUGAUUGGAUAAAUGUUGAUAUAACAGAUUGGAAUUUCACAUGGUUGGGUUCAAGGAAAGGUGAAGUCUUUCAACUGACAAUUUCCUUGUUAUUUGAGGCCUACUUGUGGUACCGUUUGGUACGUGAAACGGAACAGAACGGAGUGGGAUAAGGAGUUCCAUCCCACAUUUGGUGCGCCUCAAACAAGUGGAACACGUUGUUCCAAAGGACAAGUUUUGGUGAAUUUUUGUUCCGUCUCUCCCUCUUAGAACAACUCGUUCCACCCUUGUGGAACACAAAAUUAUAACAUUUUAAGUCAAAAAUGCCCCUUAUCUUUUCAAUAUUUACACCAUCAAAAUCACGAAACAAACCACAUCUUUUUUGCCACCACAUUGUAUCUCCCAGGUCUCUUGCAACCUUCCUCCCCAUCCUUUCCCUGUCAUCUUCCUUCCAUUUUCUCAAAGCUCUGCAUCUCCAGACUAUGUGUUCAAGGUGGUACUGAUGGGAGACUCUGUUGUGGGCAAGUCUCAAAUUCUGGCCAGGAGUGUCAAGGCUCAGAUCUGGGACACUGUUAACCAAGAACACUCUCUCUCUCUCUCUCUCUCUCUCUCACUCUCUCUCACUUCAGGUGUAGCAUACAACCCUUUUCUUUCAAUUUGCUACUUGGAUUUUUUGGAAUGAUAGUUUGGAGCGAGUUGAGUCUCUGAAAUGUCUCAGAUAUGAUUUUUCACCCAAACCUUGAAAAUUUUCUUUUCAAUUCUUCCAAACUCUAAAUAAUUUUUUUUCCUGCGUUGUAUGUUUCAAAAAUGAACUUAUGAUUGUUGAUUGAAACGGGAAUCACAAUUUAUCUUUGUUUUGUGACUCUCACUUACCACUUUUGUGGGUACUAUGCAUAUUUGGCCUCCAAGUUGUUUGAUUAAAUGCCUCAAAGGAGUAUAUGGGAAUCAUAUUGGGGGAGUACUGAAACCUGCAAAAGUUCUAAUAAGAGCACCUUCGAGUUAGGUUAGGUGAUGCACUUUUGGUAAUACUUUCUCCUUGUGUGUACUACAACUUGCAAAAUUUCUAGGUUGAUUGAACAUUAAAAAAAAUGUGAUUUGUUAAUUACUGGGUGCAAAAUUUCUGGGUUGAUUAAACAUCGAAAAUUUUUGGGUCUAUUUGCCAUCAGCUUUGAUUUGUUAAUUACUGGGUUUUGUCAAGAUUUGUGCAACUAGGUUUGUGAAACUUUACUUUGUCUAUGGCUUUAGAACUGCUCUAAAAUUCAUUAGGAAGUUAUGUAUCUAAAACUUUUCUGAUUGUGAUUUGUGUAGUUUUUCUUUUUUAUUAUGACUUGCCAAUGUUCUUUGCUUUUCGUUUUAUAGGUCUCCAUGUAUGUUGUUGCGACACAUUAGAUUAUCUUCAAGAUCUAGUCUUGUCUCAAAUAGCCUUUUAUUAGAUGAAUAUUCAAGAAACAUGAAGUUAUUGCUUCAGGCUAUGGGUUUAUUGAUUGAUAUGUACACAUCAAUAUGAGUCUGUUGAGAUUGUAGGAAGGCUGUUAGUCUGUUGGGAUUUGUAGGGAUAUAAGGAAGUUAGUUGGUUAGUAGUUGAUGAGUGAAGCAAAGAACACUUGUAUAAAUAACAAACACCUCUCUCUCUCUCUCCCCCUCUCUCUCUCUUUGUAAUUCAUUCAUUGUUCAAGGAAUACAAUCUUUAUUCAUUCA